rnacentral:tRNA from 1 species
GGGCUGGUCGUCUAGCCUGGUUAGGACGUCGCCCUGACACGGCGAAGGUCGGAGGUUCAAAUCCUCUCCAGCCCA